GGGAAGCUUGCUUCUUUUGAGAGCGGCGGACGGGUGAGUAAUGCCUAGGAAUCUGCCUGGUAGUGGGGGAUAACGUUCGGAAACGGACGCUAAUACCGCAUACGUCCUACGGGAGAAAGCAGGGGACCUUCGGGCCUUGCGCUAUCAGAUGAGCCUAGGUCGGAUUAGCUAGUUGGUGAGGUAAUGGCUCACCAAGGCGACGAUCCGUAACUGGUCUGAGAGGAUGAUCAGUCACACUGGAACUGAGACACGGUCCAGACUCCUACGGGAGGCAGCAGUGGGGAAUAUUGGACAAUGGGCGAAAGCCUGAUCCAGCCAUGCCGCGUGUGUGAAGAAGGUCUUCGGAUUGUAAAGCACUUUAAGUUGGGAGGAAGGGUUGUAGAUUAAUACUCUGCAAUUUUGACGUUACCGACAGAAUAAGCACCGGCUAACUCUGUGCCAGCAGCCGCGGUAAUACAGAGGGUGCAAGCGUUAAUCGGAAUUACUGGGCGUAAAGCGCGCGUAGGUGGUUUGUUAAGUUGGAUGUGAAAUCCCCGGGCUCAACCUGGGAACUGCAUUCAAAACUGACUGACUAGAGUAUGGUAGAGGGUGGUGGAAUUUCCUGUGUAGCGGUGAAAUGCGUAGAUAUAGGAAGGAACACCAGUGGCGAAGGCGACCACCUGGACUAAUACUGACACUGAGGUGCGAAAGCGUGGGGAGCAAA
rnacentral:rRNA from 1 species